rnacentral:lncRNA from 1 species
GGUAGAACAAAUUCUUUUCAGAUGAGGGAAUUCUGUAUACAGAGACAGAGGAAGACUUUUGUUAGGAAUUUGGUUAGCAUUUCUUUUUAUUGUUCUUGUCAUAUCCUUUAAUUGUGGCACCAUGUAUGUACUCUUGGAGAUGUGCCUAAUUGCUAAAUCUUUCAGGUUUGUUUUUUGUAUCAUAAUAUCUAGUAUGGUGUCUGGCGAAUAGUAACCUUUUUACUUGGCCUUCAUGUUAGCAUGGAAAAAUUAAAUAAAUGUACAUUUAUCUUCUAAUUUUCACUCAGGAAUACCUCCAAUGAUUGAAUUUUAAGACUUUUUAUUGAGGCAUAAUUGAUUUACAUAAGCUGUGCUUAUUUAAAAUGUACCAUUUGAUAAGCUUUGAAAUGUAUAUACAUUGCCAGUCUGACUAGGAGUCUUUGCUCCUUUAAAGACAGAAAUCAAGAAAAGGCAAAGAACACAGCUCUUUAGUAUUGCCAUCUCUGAACUCUUAGAGUUACCAGCUGAGCUUUUGGGCCCUUUUGCUCAAUUUGAGAUAGAAAUGAAGGAAAGGCAAAGCAGUACCACCCAAAAGAGGCUUUUCUGGGGCUUAUGCUUUUUGAGCACAAGGAAAACAGUACAUGGCAUAGGGCUCUGGGACUGGCUUCCUGAGGAUGUAGUCAGUGAAGCGUAUAUAUCCAAAAAGGAUGGUCUCACAGAGGCACACAGUCUGUUGUUACACAUUUUUACACUUGUUUAAUUGGUUCUUUGCUGUGGGUACCAGGAGUUGUACUUGACAUGGUGAUCUGUUCAUGUGCACUUGGCUUCCAAGAGAUGAUGGAGGUGCUUACUACUGUUAUCCCUGGAGGCUGCAGGAAAAUCCCUUUAUAAGAUUCAUGCGCUGGAUCUUAGCAGUGGUAGCAGAAGCUCUCUUAGUGGCAGCAGUUUGGCUGGAAGAGAGACUGUGGAGGGUCGGGGGGCUGCCUUGCAGAGUCAAGUGUCCAAACUGGGCUAGAGGCAGGUGCACUGGGACUUGUCCAGUUCUGGACAGACAUGCUCUGUGGGGCCAGAGGGACUUGUGAUCAUUACCUUCCUCUGCACUCGCUGGCACAAGUUGUUGCCACAACUGGUUACUGAGCAGGAAGAUGGUCAGGACCCCAUUGCAGGUCCACAGGGAGGACAAACUUUUCCAAAGUGAUUGCAUUGCAUAUGAGAGUACCAUUUUCUACAAAUCCUCAUCAGUAUUUUAUAUGGUCA